AUGAAUUUCUUCCUGUUUUUCUUUUCUCUGAUAGCCAUGCCAAAAUGGUCCCUAUCUGAUGUGCAACUUGUAUCUUCAGGGCCUGAAACUGUAAGACCAGGACAAAAUCUCAAUUUGCUCUGUAAAGUUACUGGUUACUCCAUCACUAAUAGUAACUAUGCAUGGAGCUGGGUCCGUCAGCCUCCAGGAAAAGGUUUAGAAUGGAUUGCCAGAAUCUUCCCCCAUAAUGGGAAUACAUGGUUUUCAUCUUCUCUUCAAAGCCGCAUCACCAUUGCUUCAGACAACUCCAAGAAUGAGUUUUCCCUUCAGUUGAACUCCUUAUCAGCUGCUGACAGUGCCAUAUAUUAUUGUGUCAGAGAGGCACACUAA